CUAGGAGAUGCUGGCUAUGCAUGUCGGCCAGGUGUUCUUCCACCCUCCAAGAAAACCAAGUACCAUUUGAACAACUUCUCUAGUAGGAGCUAUCUUAGGACUCCUAAGGAACUAUUCAAUCUCAGACACUCCAGUCUUAAAGUAAUGGUUGAAAGCGCAUUUGGAGCUCUGAAGAAUAGGUUUAAGAUCCUGGAUCAGAAGCCAUUCCACCCUUAACCUACCCAGGUUAAGCUUGUUCUUGCAUGUUGCAUCAUUCACAACUGGAUCCUAUAGUAGGGAACCGAUGAAGUUGUAUUGGAAGAGGAAGAGGUGACGCCUGAUGAUGUGAUCAGCUCCGACCAUGGUUUGGAGGCGUUUGACAAUAAAGCGUGGAAGAACAAAAGGUUGGAGUGGGCUCAGGCAAUGUGGGAUAACAGAGGUCAGACAAGGAUUUGA
rnacentral:rRNA from 1 species